UACGUAGGGGGCUAGCGUUGUCCGGAUUUAUUGGGCGUAAAGAGCGUGUAGGCGGCCAGGUAGGUCUGCUGUGAAAACUCGAGGCUCAACCUCGAGACGUCGGCGGAAACCAUCUGGCUAGAGUCCGGAAGAGGCGAGUGGAAUUCCUGGUGUAGCGGUGAAAUGCGCAGAUAUCAGGAGGAACACCUAUUGCGAAGGCAGCUCGCUGGGACGUAACUGACGCUGAGACGCAAAAGCGUGGGGAGCAAACAGG
rnacentral:rRNA from 1 species